CCUGAGAGGGUGAACGGCCACAUUGGGACUGAGACACGGCCCAAACUCCUACGGGAGGCAGCAGUGGGGAAUAUUGCACAAUGGGGGAAACCCUGAUGCAGCGACGCCGCGUGAGUGAAGAAGUAUUUCGGUAUGUAAAGCUCUAUCAGCAGGGAAGAAGUGACGGUACCUGAAUAAGAAGCCCCGGCUAACUACGUGCCAGCAGCCGCGGUAAUACGUAGGGGGCAAGCGUUAUCCGGAUUUACUGGGUGUAAAGGGAGCGUAGACGGCAAGGCAAGUCUGAAGUGAAAGCCCGGUGCUUAACGCCGGGACUGCUUUGGAAACUGUUUAGCUGGAGUGCCGGAGAGGUAAGCGGAAUUCCUAGUGUAGCGGUGAAAUGCGUAGAUAUUAGGAAGAACACCAGUGGCGAAGGCGGCUUACUGGACGGUAACUGACGUUGAGGCUCGAAAGCGUGGGGAGCAAACAGGAUUAGAUACCCUGGUAGUCCCCGCCGUANACGAUGAUUGCUAGGUGUAGGUGGGAU
rnacentral:rRNA from 1 species